CGUGUUCUCAGGUCGCCCCUG
rnacentral:miRNA from 3 species